AUACGGAGGCUCCGAGCGUUAAUCGGAAUUACUGGGCGUAAAGCGCGCGUAGGUGGAUGUAUAAGUCAGAUGUGAAAGCCCUGGGCUCAACCUAGGAACUGCAUUUGAAACUGUACGUCUAGAGUAUGGUAGAGGUGAGUGGAAUUUCAGGUGUAGCGGUGAAAUGCGUAGAGAUCUGAAGGAACAUCAGUGGCGAAGGCGACUCACUGGGCCAUUACUGACACUGAGGUGCGAAAGCGUGGGUAGCAAACAGGAUUAGAAACCCUAGUAGUCC
rnacentral:rRNA from 1 species